GCUUCUUAAUAAGCACCAUCUCUCUCUCUCUCUCUCUCUCUCUCUCUCUCUCUCUCUCUCUCUCUCUGUGUGUGUCUCACACACACACAAAUACACAAACAUCAUGGGAAGUCUUUGCUGCACGCAAUCUAACGAUGAUGAUGGAGGAGGAUUUAAUCCCAUAUGGCUGAUCGCGGUUUUGGUCAUUGCCUUGACGAUCAUGGCCGUCUGCUUCAAACCAUGCAAACCACGACGGCGUUGUAGAUACGUGGCGUGCCGUCCCCACUGUUACUGAAUGCUGCUUUGGCUUCUCCGCUUGGCUUCCAUGGAUAAGAUCACAAGCUGUGCAAAUUAAGGGGCAGCUGAGAAAUAAAGCAUAGUCUAGCAGAUCAGCCCCGACAACCAGAAGGCAGCGGAUGAAAAAUUUCCUCUUUUUUUCUUCAUUGCUAGUUUUUGAAAUUUAGCCUCUGUAAUAAGCACUGCAAAAGUGAGUGGAAAUGUUGCCAAGAUAUUGCGUGAAGAGAGAAAAAUUUGUCAUGAUAGCUUACAGAAGGCCUUCAGGACCUCAUGUAUUAGAAGAGCAGGUAUUGUAAAAUCCAGCAGGGAUGAUGAACAGUGUUUCUGCUCCAUUCUUAGUUACAGGUCCCAUUGAAGGGCAAAUUUCCACAAAA